rnacentral:misc_RNA from 1 species
ACGGACAAAUUGCCCAUUGAAAAAUGGCGCUGUAAGCUGCCGUCGUGUGUGUUUUCUGGUCAACGUCCGUAGGCCUUUCCUCGAAGGUGCCGCAGAGACUCGCCGCCAGUGAUCGUGGUGGGCUCGUCGGGCGCCUUCGAGGAAACCCCCCACAAUGCCAAAAGUCGUCGAGAACAUGCAGCUUGGCUUUGCUGGCUGUCGCACCGCUUUUCGAAGGUGUUGCCGAUGGCUGACGUGCAGUGGGAGUGUCCCUGGUAGAGAGCCUCGCGAUCAGUACGAGGUGCUGUGCUUGGGUCUCACGGGUGCAGGCAAGUCUACAGCCCUGGCCACACUGGUGGGGGAGCCUUGGGAUGCCCUAGAGCCCACCACGGGCUUCAACAUUAAGACGCUGCCAGUUAAUGACACUGUGCUCAAUAUCAAGGAACUGGGUGGCUCGGUACGUCCAUUCUGGCAGGAGUAUUUUGGGGACGCACAUGGAGUGUUGUUCGUGCUGGAUGGCACUGGUGGCGAAGCCUCCUUACAGGCAUCUCGCCAGACCUUGGCAGAAGUGCUGCCGCAGCUGAAGGGACGCCCCUGUGUUGUGCUGGCCACCCACGCCGACCUUUCUGGCUGCGCUACUCAAGCACAGGUGGAGCAACUGCUUGAAGGUCUGAUGCAUGGUCGAAAAUCGGCGGUGUUGUCGUGUUCCCGGGGCCAGCGUCAGGAAGUGCUCAAGGCACUUGAAAUGCUCACUGGUUACAUGACAGCAUCCAUCAAGUAGCAUCGAGCCACAGACGCGCCUGUAUGAAAUGCUCAAGGGCGGUGCUUGGCCUCACCCCCACCGUACCAACAGAUGUGUUGCGAACAGAUGUAUUCCUCACCACCCUGACCAUCAUCCUCCGGCACAGUUGUGUUUCCUGUGACGAAACUCGCUGGUAGUUUCUUUUAUACAACUGACCUGUCUGGAAAUGGCACCAAGGCUCUUCUUGCCUGACAUGUGGAGCGCCACUUGGCUUCGCAGUGGCUCGCCUCAUUUUCUUCUAAACAGACUUUGCGCGAUUAGUGCUGCCAAAGCUUGGCAUCUCAUCUGCUUGUCAAAACAUGUGCGGGUGUUGACAAGACAUAUGCAACGAGAUUAACAGGGUGUACACGGCGAGCCUUUAUUAUAAACCGCACCAUACUUCUGUCCGCUGCCACUUGAGGCAGACUAAACAUGAUGUUGGUACCUGUAAGCACUUAUUAGCAAGUGCUUUGGUAGGAUUUCCCAAAAUGCUGUUAGGGUACAGCUGGACAGCCAUGCACGGUGGACAUAGCUUGACCUCAGCAGCUGCAUCAAUCACCAUGGCGACUGUAUUGAGUUUUGCCUUGAAUGACUCAUUGAAGUUAUUGCUCUGCAUGGAAUUCGGCGUUACACUGAGCAUCUCGCAAGAUGAGUAGUAAUACACAGUUGUGCAUUGACAAUGAUGUGUUUGUACCAAAUGAACACAGUGUGAAAUGUCACAUUGCAACCAUUUUCUUGGCAUGGCCAGUCAAGCACAAUCGCACCUGGCAACUUGUGCCCGUCGUCACGAGCUCAACGUGUUCCCACCUCCCGAUUCUGUUUUUCAGCCCGGUGUCCUUGUUGCAAGCAGUGAGUGUUGUUUUAAGCGGUCUUACUGCUGUUCCCAGUAUUUGGUAUGGCAUGCAGUUGUGAUAGUUCCAUCUGCAGGCCCUGCAGACAACAUCGGCAUUACUGACAUCCCUCUGCGUGGCCCGACACGGCUAUAAUGUUUUAUCCCUGGCCUGUCCCAGUGAAGAGCAUGCAUGCAAGCGCACAUUAAAAGUCAGCCGCAAUGCGUGCGCACAUUUCCCACAUUGUAGGCAUUCCUCUGCUCUUAAAACAAGCCUGCAGGUGCAUGCUUCAGAACUUGUGGUAUCUCUGAAUCUGUA